rnacentral:tRNA from 1 species
GAGGGUAUAGCUCAAGUGGUAGAGCACAUGCUUAGCAUACACAAGGCCCUGGGUUCAAUCCCCAGUACCUCCU